GUCCAGGAGUCAGGGGUCUUCUUUUCAAUGAGGAUGCCUUCAUUUCGUCUGUAAAAAGAAGACGAGCGUUGAUCUGGUAGUGAUUCCCGCCGAUCCACCGCCCAACAUUUCUGUUGAUGCUAGCCAUUAAGUGGUAAGGAAUAUAGUCACUCAUUGAAGAUCCUCAAAGUGAGCCGCACUUCUAGAUAAGACAGGCAGGCUCCCCUAUCUUCAAGAAUGAGUCCAGAGUUUUCAUUCUAGCAUUUGCUGUUUUCUGUCAACUAGUGAACUUACUCCUAAGCUGUAUCUCUCAGGUACUCUGGUUAGUCACUGUUGGUAGAAAGAGGCCCAACAAUUUCGCUUCUAGAAAUGGUUUCUUUCAGUCCCCCUUCCCCAGUUCCUCUAACAAAAGACCCUUAGGCUUGGUGAUGAGAAAAGCAAAUACCUUCAACAGCAGCAAAGCCAGGUCAGGAUUAGAUUUUGGCUUAGAGAAAUGAGAGAGGGAGGCUUAUGAUAGAGAAUUUUCUUUCCAUGAAAAAUAUGUCCGAAGAUCGACAGUUCAAGCUUCUGUCUUAAGCUCACCUCAUUCUGCCAUAUUCCAAACGGUGGGAAGAAAAAUGUCUUAUUUUAAGAAGACUGCUUAGGAAGUUCUGCCCAGUUUUGCUUGAAUCUCAUUGGUUAAAACAAUCAUCUUGAUGCAUCUUUCUUUAAAGAUAAAAACAGUGUCUUGUUAUUAAUAAGGAAUGGCAGUGAAGGCUUACAGUGAUUCACUUGUCUAGCAUGCCUUAAGGAGAUGGGGGUGGGGAUCGUGCAAUGUAGGAACAGAUAUGUGAACAUAGUAAGUUGUUUGAUUUUUUUUUCCUGGCCAAUACUUAAAACCAGAUCCGCAACUCUUUAAACUUUUGAGAUUACAACAACACAGCAAACGAAGCCCAUUGGAAGAAAUGUCCGGUAAUGAAAACUAAGAACAGGGUCUAGUGGCCUAAGAAGGUAUGAUGUCAUAGAUGAUCAAGCAGGUGUGAUGUCAUAGAUGCCAAGACAAUUUGUUUGCAAGAGGAAGUGGUCAGCCGUCAAUUGUGACAAAUGCUGCCAAGAACCCAAGAAAGA
rnacentral:lncRNA from 1 species